GGUCUGUGAUGACUAGUAAAAGGUCUGACUGCCCAAAAAAUUAUGCUUCCUUAUCCUCUGUACUCCCAGCAGUAGCCUCUCCUAUCAUGUUCCAGCAGUGCAAUGAUGGGGAAAGUGUUUGCUGACAAGUUGUGAUGUGUUCAGCUUGUGUCGGCCUAGAGUACCAGGUGGACACAGUUGAAAUCGCUAUCCUACAAAACCAGCAAAAGGAGUUUGAGGGUUGGGGAUCAUACUUUGGGCAAAUGAUCUCAGAUUUUCUAACUGAGACC
rnacentral:snoRNA from 1 species